rnacentral:rRNA from 1 species
UGUUGGAAUUACGGAUGGGUAUUAGGAUUAGUAUCAUGAAGGUGGAUUUGUAAGUAAUUAUUUUUUUAAUAUUAUUUGAUGAAGGGUGGAAUAACAUGUGUACAUAUUGCCCGUCGCUCUCGUUAUUAUUGAGAUAAGUCGUAACAUAGUUGAUGAACUGGAAAGUGUAUCUUUUUGA